GGUUUACUACAGUCCGUUUCUCUCAUCACAUCGGAGACACCACCGGCCCCGAGCCCAUUUAGAAAUUACAGCCUCAUUACCAAAAGCAAAGGUUUGUUUCCUGCCUGCAAAACUGAGGGCAGGAACUACAGUAAGUACAGUUCACGGGGAGAGCUACUGGACAGAUACACCAAUGGGGCCCUCACGCCCAGAAGAACCAAGCUUUCCAGAAGACUUGUAGGGAUCCUUAUCACCGUCAAUAACAGGAGUCACUGUGGGGACUGAAAAAGCAGUGCGUCUGUGAAACAAAAAAGCCAGGAACGAGUGAUGUGAGAAACAGGAAACAAGUAAAUGAAGGCGGGCAUGCUGAAGGAAGGGUAAGUUCUUCUGGAAAGUUCUGGAAGCUAGAAGGAAAUUCUGCAGGUGGGGCCCACUGGACCACUGGCCGGUGCCGUAGCCACAACCCAUUCAACGCUGUACCCUUUCGGCACUUGGUGUAGUUAAGCAGAGUAGGUAGUGACCGUAACAGAUACUUUAAAAAGGUUGCUGAACGAAUGAAUAAGCAGACACUGAACAGCUGGCAAGAGGAGGACACCAGAAACGCCCCCCAAGCCGAGGCAUCUGAUACCUGGAAGAAUCAGGAAGGAGCAGAGUUGGUAGGGUUGGUGGGAGAGCAUGGCCAAGGGCGGUACAGACUUCUUGGGGUGACAGAGGAUGCUGGUAUUUAAAGCCUCCUCUUCCAGGGCCUGCAACAUGGGGUUAUGUUUACUUCAAGCCCCUCAGAGACCCUGGUAAAGUCCCGACCUUCUGAGGCAAAGUCACUAUUUAGCCAAGACAACAGAAAGCAGUGUGGUAGGCACUGUGCCCCUGCGAGAGAGAGGCUGUGUCCCCGCCGCUGUGCCCGGAGCCCGCACUCGGGGAUGAACAAGAUCAUCGCUUGCCCCAGAGACUUCAGAAGAAUCUCCAUCCCGGUUUUUGCACGCCCCACCACCCAGCAUGACCCUGAUUUUUAGGAACUUCGCCCUCAAAAGCGGACCACACAGUCUUUCAAAUGGCAUUACUUAUCCAAAAUAAAAGAAGUCCUCUCUUC